rnacentral:rRNA from 1 species
AUCAGAUGUGCCCAGAUGGGAUUAGCUAGUAGGUGGGGUAACGGCUCACAUAGGCGACGAUCCCUAGCUGGUCUGAGAGGAUGACCAGCCACACUGGAACUGAGACACGGUCCAGACUCUUACGGGAGGCAGCAGUGGGGAAUAUUGCACAAUGGGCGCAAGCUUGAUGCAGCCAUGCCGCGUGUAUGAAGAAGGCCUUCGGUUUGUAAAGUACUUUCAGCGGGGAGGAAGGUGUUGAGGUUAAUAACCUCAGCAAUUGACGUUACCCGCAGAAGAAGCACCGGCUAACUCCGUGCCAGCAGCCGCGGUAAUACGGAGGGUGCAAGCUUUAAUCGGAAUUACUGGGCGUAAAGCGCACGCAGGCGGUUUGUCAAUUCGGAUGUGAAAUCCCCGGGCUCAACCUGGGAACUGCAUUCGAAACUGGCAGGCUAGAGUCUUGUAGAGGGGGGUAGAAUUCCAGGUGUAGCGGUGAAAUGCGUAGAGAUCGGGAGGAAUACCGGUGGCGAAGGCGGCCCCCUGGACAAAGACUGACGCUCAGGUGCGAAAGCGUGGGGAGCAAACAGGAUUAGAUACCCUGGUAGUCCACGCCGUAAACGAUGUCGACUUGGAGGUUGUGCCCUUGAGGCGUGGCUUCCGGAGCUAACGCGUUAAGUCGACCGCCUGGGGAGUACGGCCGCAAGGUUAAAACUCAAAUGAAUUGACGGGGGCCCGCACAAGCGGUGGAGCAUGUGGUUUAAUUCGAUGCAACGCGAAAAACCUUACCUACUCUUGACAUCCAGAGAACUUUCCAGAAAUGGAUUGGUGCCUUCGGGAACUCUGAAACAGGUGCUGCAUGGCUGUCGUCAGCUCGUGUUGUGAAAUGUUGGGUUAAGUCCCGCAACGAGCGCAACCCUUAUCCUUUGUUGCCAGCGGUUCGGCCGGGAACUCAAAGGAGACUGCCAGUGAUAAACUGGAGGAAGGUGGGGGAUGACGUCAAGUCAUCAUGGCCCUUACGAGUAGGGCUACACACGUGCUACAAUGGCGCAUACAAAGAGAAGCGACCUCGCGAGAGCAAGCGGACCUCAUAAAGUGCGUCGUAAUCCGGAUUGGAAUCUGCAACUCGACUCCAUGAAGUCGGAAUCGCUAGUAAUCGUAGAUCAGAAUGCUACCGUGAAUACGUUCCCGGGCCUUGUACACACCGCCCGUCACACCAUGGG